rnacentral:rRNA from 1 species
GAUGAACGCUAGCGGCAGGCUUAACACAUGCAAGUCGAGGGGCAGCAUGACACUUCAGUGUUGAUGGCGACCGGCGCACGGGUGCGUAACGCGUAUAGAACCUACCCAUAACAGGGGGAUAGCCCAGAGAAAUUUGGAUUAAUACCCCAUGGUGUAUUAGUGAGGCAUCUCAUUUUUAUUAAAGAUUUAUCGGUUGUGGAUGGCUAUGCGUUCUAUUAGUUUGUUGGUGAGGUAACGGCUCACCAAGGCUUCGAUAGAUAGGGGUUCUGAGAGGAAUAUCCCCCACACUGGUACUGAGACACGGACCAGACUCCUACGGGAGGCAGCAGUGAGGAAUAUUGGACAAUGGGCGCAAGCCUGAUCCAGCCAUGCCGCGUGCAGGAAGAAAGCCCUAUGGGUUGUAAACUGCUUUUAUUCACGAGGAAUAAAUCUCUUGCGAGGGAUUUUGACGUUAGUGUUUGAAUAAGCACCGGCUAACUCCGUGCCAGCCGCCGCCGUAACAC